rnacentral:rRNA from 1 species
GAUGAACGCUGGCGGCGUGCCUAAUACAUGCAAGUCGAGCGAAUGGAUUAAGAGCUUGCUCUUAUGAAGUUAGCGGCGGACGGGUGAGUAACACGUGGGUAACCUGCCCAUAAGACUGGGAUAACUCCGGGAAACCGGGGCUAAUACCGGAUAACAUUUUGAACCGCAUGGUUCGAAAUUGAAAGGCGGCUUCGGCUGUCACUUAUGGAUGGACCCGCGUCGCAUUAGCUAGUUGGUGAGGUAACGGCUCACCAAGGCCACGAUGCGUAGCCGACCUGAGAGGGUGAUCGGCCAAACUGGGACUGAGACACGGCCCAGACUCCUACGGGAGGCAGCAGUAGGGAAUCUUCUGCAAUGGACGAAAGUCUGACGGAGCAACGCCGCGUGAGUGAUGAAGGCUUUCGGGUCGUAAAACUCUGUUGUUAGGGAAGAACAAGUGCUAGUUGAAUAAGCUGGCACCUUGACGGUACCUAACCAGAAAGCCACGGCUAACUACGUGCCAGCAGCCGCUGUAA